GUGCCUGGUCUGGUACGAGGUACCACAGAGGCAGUGGUGGGAGGGAUGACAGUUUCGUGAGGUCGCUUAUGUAUUGAGCUGAGUGCAGACACUGCCCAGCAUAUGGUAACUAUCAGCGAACAUCCUUCCAAUUCUCCAGUCUAAAAGCAUUACAGUUACGCUGUAUGGAACAAAGAAAGCAUAGACAGGUAAGGCUUGGCUGAGUGGUCAGGGUUAAGCUUAGACCUGAACGACAGCAAAGAUCCAGUCCUGGGAUCCUUGUCCCCCCUACCCUACUUCAACCUCUUUAUAAGCUCUACCAACCAGGCACCUGCUUGUACCAACCACUGUGCCAGGCCUUUGGGCCUGCCCUUACACAGCACUUUGUAUCUUCAACACUGCUUUUACGUAGAAGGAAAACACCAGCUGUUCUCAAACUUCCUGGUCAGAGCAAGAGUUCUUCCAGGGAGAGCCUGCAAGGAUAGGGGGCAGAAUUUGAGCUCUUGCUCCCUUCAAUUGGAGUAGCCCUUCUUUGACCAGUUUUAAAUCCUAGACCUCUGAAAAAGAUCCAAGCUAUUUAUCAAGGGUCCUUGGUGUGCCUGACACUGUUCAAGGUGCUUAGGGCACAUCAGUGGGAAAUCAAAGACGCCUGUGCUCAAGAUUGUACCAUAGCAGGGAAGCCACACAGCGAAUGGAUUAGAUGAGCACCAUCCGAGGAUGGAAGAUGACGAUGACUGAGGGAAACAGCACCGUGGCAGGCGUUACGGACUGAAUUGUGUCCCCUACCUCCAAAUUCAUAUAUUGAAGCCCUUAUCCCUACUAUGACUGUAUAAGGAGAUAGGGCCUUUAAAAGGAGAUAAUAAAGUUAAAUGAGGUCAUAAGAGAAGGACCCUCAUCCAAUAAGACUGGUGUCCUUACAAGAAGAGGCAAAGACACUAGGACUGCACACAAAGGAAAGACCGUGUGAGGACACAGCAUGAAGGAGUCCAUCUGGAAGCCAAGGAGAGAUGUCUCAGGAGAAACCAAAGCUGCCAGCACCUCGAUCUUGGACUUCUAGCUUCCAGAAGUAGAAGAAAAUAAAUUUCUGUUGUUUAAGCUC